rnacentral:rRNA from 1 species
GACGAACGCUGGCGGCGUGCUUAACACAUGCAAGUCGAACGAUGAAGCGGUGCUUGCACCGUGGAUUAGUGGCGAACGGGUGAGUAAUACGUGAGUGACCUACCUUUGACUCUGGGAUAAGCCUGGGAAACUGGGUCUAAUACCGGAUACGACCAAUCUCUGCAUGGGGUGUUGUUGGAAAGCGUUAUGGAGUGGUUUUAGAUGGGCUCACGGCCUAUCAGCUUGUUGGUGAGGUAAUGGCUUACCAAGGCGACGACGGGUAGCCGGCCUGAGAGGGUGACCGGCCACACUGGGACUGAGACACGGCCCAGACUCCUACGGGAGGCAGCAGUGGGGAAUAUUGCACAAUGGGCGCAAGCCUGAUGCAGCGACGCCGCGUGAGGGAUGACGGCCUUCGGGUUGUAAACCUCUGUUAGCAUCGAAGAAGCGAAAGUGACGGUAGGUGCAGAGAAAGCGCCGGCUAACUACGUG